rnacentral:misc_RNA from 1 species
AUGAAUUACAAGCUUGCUAUGAGUGUCUUUGAUCCAAAGAUCAACUUUGUGGAGCAGGACCCUGCUUCAAGUGAAUUGUCAAACUCCAUGAAGUUUGUUCUGAACCCUGAUGAGAUGAAGAUGCUUGAAGCUUACUCAAAUAGCCUUAUUGACUACCCCUUGAUUCGAGAUGUUGCUCAAAAACUUGCGCGUGAGUACUUUUUGGAGCAUUUGCCAGUUUCACUUUCAUAUGUCCAGGCUUCCAUAUUGCUUUGCUAUGGCCUGCAACACAAAGACAUCUCUGAAAUAGAGGUAGAAAUGAAUUUGGAAAGGCAACAAGUAUUGUCCUUUUUCAUGAAAACCAUGAAGAGGCUUUUCAAAUACCUGCAUAAUCUAAAAUCAAAAGAAUUUUCAUCAACUGCAUCUCGGCUUAAAGCGAUUACAUUGGAACCACAUCUGAUAUCUGUUGAUGAAGAUCUCAAUGAUGCUGCAAAAAAAGUUCAGGAUGACAUGAAAGCCAAGACAACGGAAGGUUUGUUGGACCCAGAGCUAUUUCAGCAAUUCGCUAUCGUAGACAGAGAGGCUGAUUUUGAAAGUGCUCUCCAGAAUGGCGGUGGGAAGAUAAGUUCUGGUGGUGUAGUUAGUGUAAAAUCCAACAAAAGCAAAUUGGAGAAGAAGCAUUCCAAGCUAGAGAGUGAAAACAGUGACAAGAAAAGACACAAAAACAACUCCGGAUCCAAAUCACAUAAGAAGAGGAAGGGUUAAUCGUGUUCACGUAACAACUUUUACCCUCCUUUCCUUUCCUUAAGGCCUGCUUAGGAGACUUCUCCUCCGUGGAGGAAUAUAUCAAGAUAAUGCGUAUCUUACAUCAUAUUAUUUUCUUAAUCGCAACCAUCAUCACUAUUUAUGCAAUCAUAUAUAGGUCCAAUUUUGUCAUAGUUUCUUUGCAAAAGUACCAAUUUUCUUA